UCCACCUGGGGAGUACGGCCGCAAGGUUAAAACUCAAAUGAAUUGACGGGGGCCCGCACAAGCGGUGGAGCAUGUGGUUUAAUUCGAUGCAACGCGAAGAACCUUACCUGGUCUUGACAUCCACGGAAGUUUUCAGAGAUGAGAAUGUGCCUUCGGGAACCGUGAGACAGGUGCUGCAUGGCUGUCGUCAGCUCGUGUUGUGAAAUGUUGGGUUAAGUCCCGCAACGAGCGCAACCCUUAUCCUUUGUUGCCAGCGGUCCGGCCGGGAACUCAAAGGAGACUGCCAGUGAUAAACUGGAGGAAGGUGGGGAUGACGUCAAGUCAUCAUGGCCCUUACGACCAGGGCUACACACGUGCUACAAUGGCGCAUACAAAGAGAAGCGACCUCGCGAGAGCAAGCGGACCUCAUAAAGUGCGUCGUAGUCCAUUA
rnacentral:rRNA from 1 species